UGCCAUGAUGGUGUAAUUUGCGUCUGACUCGGUGAACAGUGACAGUUGCCUGCUGUCUUAAAGCUGUCACAGGGUAUUGAUGUGAGCUAAAGUCUGAGCA
ensembl:snoRNA SNORD16 Small nucleolar RNA SNORD16